GACGAACGCUGGCGGUGUGCUUAACACAUGCAAGUCGAACGGAAAGGCCCUGCUUUUGUGGGGUGCUCGAGUGGCGAACGGGUGAGUAACACGUGAGUAACCUGCCCUUGACUUUGGGGUAACUUCAGGAAACUGGGGCUAAUACCGGAUAGGAGCUCCUGCUGCAUGGUGGGGGGUGGAAAGUUUCGGCGGGAGGGGAUGGACUCGCGGCUUAUCAGCUUGUUGGUGGGGUAGUGGCUUACCAAGGCUUUGACGGGUAGCCGGCCUGAGAGGGUGACCGGCCACAAUGGGACUGAGAUACGGCCCAGACUCCAACGGGAGGCAGCAGUGGGGAAUAUUGCACAAUGGGCGGGAGCCUGAUGCAGCAGCGCCGCGUGCGGGAUGACGGCCUUCGGGUUGUAAACCGCUUUCGCCUGUGACGAAGCGGGAGUGACGGUAAUGGAUAAAGAAGCACCGGCUAACUACGUG
rnacentral:rRNA from 1 species